UUUGGUUAUAACUUUUUUUCCGUGUUGAGCACAGCCUUUGCUUUGCUUUUGCUUGUGAUUUGUGAAUUCUGUUAGUUUGAAUUUAAUUCUUGCCCUGCGACGAGCCCAGCGUGUGUGCCACCGAACGAGAGCCUCUGAACUGAAACUGAGCAGCGCCGUGGCAAGGAUAAGCAUAUAUUUUUGUUGAAUGAGUGCCUCAAUGAAAGCUCGCUUACGCGUGUGUGUGUGUGCGUAUGUGUGUGUGCAUUGCAACUCGUUCGUUUUUUAACGGUAACAUUGCUCUGCGCACAGGCGCAGUAUUGGGCGAGUAUGUCUCGCUGGCCAUUGUGAAUGCUGCAGCGUUGCCACCUGUGCUUUGACGUCAUUGGGUCAUGGCACAGUGGGAAUGGGUCAUUGCACAGUGGGAGAAAAUUGUUUAAAACUAACAAAAAAUGUAUUUUAGAGCUAUUUUAACUUGAAAUAGAAAGGAAAGCAAAUGGAA